rnacentral:rRNA from 1 species
AGGUGAAAUUUUAAGUUUAAAUUGAAAUAAUAUAAUACUUAAUUGGUUUAGAAGCUAUUAAUAUUUAGAUAUAAACUAGGAUUAGAUACCCUAUUAUACUAGUAUGUGAAAUUAUUUGCCUGGGUAGUAAUUAGUUAUGGUCUUUAAAUCUAAAGGAUUUGGCGGUGUCUAAGUCUAGUUAGAGGAACCUGCACUUUAAACGAUAUUCCACGAAAUAUCUUACUUUAUUUUGUUUAUCAACCUAUAUAUCGUCAUUAUAAAAUAAUAUUUAAAAUUAUUUAUUGAAAUAAAAGUUUUUAAAUAUAUUAGAUCAAGGUGUAGUCAAUAGUAAAGUAGAUGUGGGUUACAAUAUAUUAUAUAUAAUAUGGAUGAGAUUUUGAAAUAGGUCUUGGAAGGUGGAUUUAAUAGUAAGUGUAUUUUAAUAUGGUACAUUGAUAAAAGCUCUGAGAUAUGUACAUAUCGCCCGUCGCUCUUGUUUUAAAAUGAGAUA